GAUGAACGCUAGCGGCAGGCUUAACACAUGCAAGUCGAACGGUAACAGGUCUUCGGAUGCUGACGAGUGGCGCACGGGUGCGUAACGCGUGGGGAUCUGCCCAGGAGUGGGGGACAACCGCUGGAAACGGCGGCUAAUACCGCAUACGCCCAUGGAGUGUGAUGCUCUGUGGGGAAAGAUUUAUCGCUCCUGGAUGAUCCCGCGUCGGAUUAGUUUGUUGGUGGGGUAACGGCCUACCAAGACUGCGAUCCGUAGCUGGUUUGAGAGGAUGAUCAGCCACACUGGGACUGAGACACGGCCCAG
rnacentral:rRNA from 1 species